rnacentral:rRNA from 1 species
GGAAUUGACGGGACCCGCACAAGCGGUGGAUGAUGUGGUUUAAUUCGAUGCAACGCGAAAAACCUUACCCACCUUUGACAUGUACGGAAUCCUUUAGAGAUAGAGGAGUGCUCGAAAGAGAGCCGUAACACAGGUGCUGCAUGGCUGUCGUCAGCUCGUGUCGUGAGAUGUUGGGUUAAGUCCCGCAACGAGCGCAACCCUUGUCAUUAGUUGCUACGAAAGGGCACUCUAAUGAGACUGCCGGUGACAAACCGGAGGAAGGUGGGGAUGACGUCAAGUCCUCAUGGCCCUUAUAGGUGGGGCUACACACGUCAUACAAUGGCUGGUACAAAGGGUUGCCAACCCGCGAGGGGGAGCCAAUCCCAUAAAGCCAGUCGUAGUCCGGAUCGCAGUCUGCAACUCGACUGCGUGAAGUCGGAAUCGCUAGUAAUCGUGGAUCAGCAUGUCACGGUGAAUACGUUCCCGGGUCUU